AAAAAAAUAGAAUAAGAAAAAAAUAAAAUAAAAAUUUGACUUUGAAAGACUAAGAAUCAUGGGAGAAAAAGCUAUGAAUUCUAUGUGACAUAUGACCCUGGC